rnacentral:lncRNA from 1 species
UUUUGGUUACCUUAUUGUAGAAAGUCGUUAAGGCGUAGUUUGUCACCUCGCCUUUGUUGAUUUUCUCCUCGUCUUCGGAGGAGCUCGAUUCAUCACAAAGUACUUCCCUCUUCUUGCGUUCAUAGCAAGUAGUUGCAUUUUUUUUGUUCUUUAAUUUUUGUUUCAUGAACUUUUUAAAUUUCAUAGUGAGGAGUUCAAGUUCACCAUCAC